AAUUCUAUUGUUAACGGAGUUAUUAUAUAGAGGAAAGGAUUGUAGCCCUCAAAGUAAAGUCGUUGCAUUGUGAUUGCAUGGACUUUAGUGUGAACUGUGACUAUCAGUAUUUAUUAUUCCUUGGCCUCUUUGCAAACAUGUGACAUUAUUUGAGUAGUUUAUUUAUGAGUAUCCAGCUUACUUCUUUAUGGUUUAUGCAGCAAUAAGGCAGUUGUUCAGAGCUGUUCUUUUUUAAAUUUUAGAAGGAGCUUAGUGCGACGAGAAAUUAGGGAGGGUGAACUAAAAAAACCAAUGGGUUUUGAAAUGUUAGAAUUUUUUUUUUGUUAUGUCACUAAAAUGCCAGUGCCAACCGACAUGUUUUGGUCAUGUGUAUCAAAGACCAAUGGUAGCAUCAUUGAGGAGUGAGUUGGUACAAGUUGAAGUGUAAGUUGGCUUAGUUGACUUAGUCAACUGACAUGUUUUAUGUUGCUACAUGAAUUCAUGGUCCAAGAAAGAGGCUUGCACUAUUGGAAUCCUUUUCGUCUGUGGUUGCUUUCUGCAGUGUUUAUUACCUUCUCUCUUUUUCUUUUUGGGAAUAGCAAAAACUCUUACUUUUAUUUGUUUAGGCAGAGAGAAAUAUAUUUUCAGAAGUGAAUGUAAGAAAAAAGAAAAAUGUGUAGUUGCAAUAGUAUAUGCAUAUAGAAUGUGAUAGAACCCAAAAGAAACUGUACAUAGCUGAAAAAAGGAACAGCUCAUCUCUCAUGGAUAGUCAUUGAAGAAUUGCAUGUCCAUUGGAAGUCCUUCGGAAAUCAAUCCAUGUCUCAAAAGUCGUCUGUAGCUUUAGCCUACUUAAUGAUGCUUCCAGUGAUAAAAUUAUAUGUGGCCCAUUUUGGGCAUUAUUUGCAAAGAUAAGAUUAUUCCUUUCCUUUAAACCCAAGAGAUGCCAUAAGUAUUUCUAUUGAUCAUUGUAUAGAAAAUAUGCAGACUUACAAUAUCUGUAUUUUUAGAGGUAUAUCUUUCUAUGCAGUUUAUACAAA